AAUAGAUACCCAGGUAGUCCACGCCGUAAACGAUGAGUGCUAAGUGUUAGAGGGUUUCCGCCCUUUAGUGCUGCAGCUAACGCAUUAAGCACUCCGCCUGGGGAGUACGGCCGCAAGGCUGAAACUCAAAGGAAUUGACGGGGGGCCCGCACAAGCGGUGGAGCAUGUGGUUUAAUUCGAAGCAACGCGAAGAACCUUACCAGGUCUUGACAUCCUCUGACCACCCUAGAGAUAGGGCUUUCCCCUUCGGGGGACAGAGUGACAGGUGGUGCAUGGUUGUCGUCAGCUCGUGUCGUGAGAUGUUGGGUUAAGUCCCGCAACGAGCGCAACCCUUGUCCUUAGUUGCCAGCAUUCAGUUGGGGCACUCUAAGGAGACUGCCGGUGACAAACCGGAGGAAGGUGGGGAUGACGUCAAAUCAUCAUGCCCCCUUAUGACCUGGGCUACACACGUGCUACAAUGGAUGGUACAAAGGGCAGCGAAGCCGCGAGGUGGAGCCAAUCCCACAAAAACCCAUUCUCAGUUCGGA
rnacentral:rRNA from 1 species